CCGUGGCUGAGUUCAGUUCACUGCAAAAUGAAUUCAAUGGCUGCUAAACUUGUUAAAUUUUUGCGCUGUUCUCCAACCGCCAGACCAGUGAUGGGUGUGCAAGGAACCUCUAGGUUGUGCUAUUCAACUGGUACAUAUCACAGUGAAGAUGAUGAGCCUGCAAGUAAUAAUGAAGCUGUAGAAAUUGAUGACAGUGAUUUUCUUCCAGAAAAACCUAAUCUGCAGCUGCAAGGUGUGGACCCCAGAAAGGGUUGGAAUUUUCGGGGUGUGCACAAGGCUAUUAUAUGUGGCAAAGUCGGGCAAUCUCCUGUGCAGAAGAUACUGAGAAAUGGACGGAGUGUCACUAUUUUCACAGUUGGAACAGGUGGCAUGUUCGAUCAGAGAAUUCCACAAGACAAAGACUUGCCUAAACCUGGACAGUGGCAUAGGAUCGCGGUGCAUAAUGAAAUGCUUGGGCAAUACUCCGUUCAGCAACUUACUAAAAACUCCUCAGUCUACAUUGAGGGUGAUAUUGAAACCAGAGUCUAUAAUGAUAGUCUCAGCGGCGAAAUUAAAAGCAUACCAGAAAUUUGUGUGCGCAGAGAUGGGAGGAUUCGGCUUAUAAAAGGUGGUGCAAGUAUCAGCAGUAUCUCAAUUGAUGAGCUCCGAGAAGGAUUGCUGUAGAAGCUCAUUGGUAAAUUGUCAAAAUACGGUAGAUGGUUGGGGGUGGAAGAUAGAGGGGAGGAAGCAGCUGAGGAGUAGGGACCUAUCGUCUGAAAUAUACUCUGCAGUAACAAAAAACUUGUCUCAUUUCCAUCUGUAAGUUGAAUAAUUUGAGUUAUUAAUUUGGCUUCAACGACUUGUGUCCAUCUUUUUGCUUGUACUUUGUUAAGAAGCAGGAAGAGAUGUUCCUAUUGGAUCCACAUUAUUAUUUAGUGAGCAGUUGCUUCAUUCGCCAAAGCUGUGCGAAAUGUUGUUCGAACGAUCGAAAUAACUAUAGGUGAAACUGUGAAAGAAAAGGAAUACUUGGAAUGAAGUGGUGGCCGCUGAUUCAUAUAAGUUAUCUUUAAUCCCCUUUUAUCGUCUGAAGUUGAUACUAUGGUUAGU
rnacentral:misc_RNA from 1 species